rnacentral:rRNA from 1 species
CCUACGGGACGCAGCAGUAGGGAAUCUUCCACAAUGGGCGAAAGCCUGAUGGAGCAACGCCGCGUGGGUGAAGAAGGUCUUCGGAUCGUAAAACCCUGUUGUUAGAGAAGAAAGUGCGUGAGAGUAACUGUUCACGUUUCGACGGUAUCUAACCAGAAAGCCACGGCUAACUACGUGCCAGCAGCCGCGGUAAUACGUAGGUGGCAAGCGUUAUCCGGAUUUAUUGGGCGUAAAGGGAACGCAGGCGGUCUUUUAAGUCUGAUGUGAAAGCCUUCGGCUUAACCGGAGUAGUGCAUUGGAAACUGGGAGACUGGAGUGCAGAAGAGGAGAGUGGAACUCCAUGUGUAGCGGUGAAAUGCGUAGAUAUAUGGAAGAACACCAGUGGCGAAAGCGGCUCUCUGGUCUGUAACUGACGCUGAGGUUCGAAAGCGUGGGUAGCAAACAGGAUUAGAUACCCUAGUAGUC